AUGAAGAACGCAGUGAAAUGCGAUACGUAGUGUGAAUUGCAGAAUUCAGUGAAUCAUCGAAUCUUUGAACGCACAUUGCACCUCUCGGUAUUCCGGGAGGUAUGCCUGUUCGAGCGUCAUUUGUACCCUCAAGCUCUGCUUGGUGUUGGGUGUUUGUUCCGCCUCUGUGUGUGAACUCGCCUCAAAACAAUUGGCAGCCGGCGUACUUGUUUCGGAGCGCAGCACAUUUUGCGAUCCAGAUCAACGUACAGCGGCAUCCAAGAAGCCUUAUUUAACGCUCUUGACCUCGGAUCAGGUAGGGAUACCCGCUGAACUUAAGCAUAUCAAUAAGCGGAGGA
rnacentral:misc_RNA from 1 species